UCACUAAACAUUUAUUAAGUGCCUGCUAUGUGCCGGGCAUUGUGCU
ensembl:miRNA